rnacentral:lncRNA from 1 species
GGGACUGCCAGUCUUCUGCCACUCCUUUUCGUGGUCCUUCCCUUCACUGCCUUCCUUCUCCCAGACAGACUGGGCAUCCAGUUCCAAUCCAAAGGCUGCCCCUUUGACCAGGCCCAUCUUCUCCACCUCACAUCAGACAGCCAAUCGGCUGCCCAGACCUCGAAACCUCAGUAACCUAGAAGGAAAUGGACCUUGGCAAACGUGUGUCAGGAGAGGAUGACUUGGAGGUGUCCACCGUGUUUCUUACUGAAGAUGUCUAAAAGUCAAUUGGGGUCAAGGAACAAGCCUCUACUCACAUGCAUGUGGGCAAAUGAAGUCACAGAACAAAUAACCUACCCUGCAUCCAGGCACGGAGUCCAGGGACACCCCCUGCUGCUGCCUAAGAGAAAGUGGCCCAAGAAGCACUGGCCCGGUGCCUGCUGAUGCCAGGAGCCCUCUGCUACUGCCUGACACAAGCAUCCUGCGCUUCCCCCUCCCAGGCCCUCCCCGAAAGCGUGGGCCACAGGUACCACUCCCUAUGCCACUGAGCCCCACAUUUCCCAUCCCCCAAGCCACUCCCACCAGCCCCAGAGCUUUCCUACAUUUAUGAUUUGUCCAAAAAUGUGAUGCCCUUCAGCCCCCAGAAGGUCAUCCUCCAGGCUGUGAUCGUCACACAGGGGGUCCCACAUGGGGUCCUCACAGGCCUUCAACCCAGCACAAAUCGUGGCCUGGUUUGACCUUUGAAAUAUCUCAACAUCUAAAAUUCAGAGCUUUUUUGGAAUAUUUAUUUUCCAUAGAUAUAAUUCUUUCAAAUAAAUUCCUUAGAAAACAA